UACGGAGGGUGCAAGCGUUAUCCGGAUUCACUGGGUUUAAAGGGUGCGUAGGCGGGCAGGUAAGUCAGAGGUGAAAUCUCCGGGCUUAACCCGGAAACUGCCAUUGAUACUAUCUGUCUUGAAUAUCGUGGAGGUAAGCGGAAUAUGUCAUGUAGCGGUGAAAUGCUUAGAUAUGACAUAGAACACCAAUUGCGAAGGCAGCUUACUACCCGAAUAUUGACACUGAGGCACGAAAGCGUGGGGAUCAAACAGG
rnacentral:rRNA from 1 species